AACGAACGCUGGCGGCAUGCCUAACACAUGCAAGUCGAACGAGAUCUUCGGGUCUAGUGGCGCACGGGUGCGUAACGCGUGGGAAUCUGCCCUUUGGUUCGGAAUAACAGUUGGAAACGACUGCUAAUACCGGAUGAUGACGAAAGUCCAAAGAUUUAUCGCCAGAGGAUGAGCCCGCGUAGGAUUAGCUAGUUGGUGUGGUAAUGGCGCACCAAGGCGACGAUCCUUAGCUGGUCUGAGAGGAUGAUCAGCCACACUGGGACUGAGACACGGCCCAGACUCAUACGGGAGGCAGCAGUGGGAAAUAUUGGACAAUGGGCGAAAGCCUGAUCCAGAAAUGCCGCGGGAGUGAGGAAGGCCUUGGGGUUGUAAAGCUUUUUUCCCCGGGAUGAUAAUGACAGUACCGGGAGAAUAAGCUCCGGCUAACUCCUUCCCAGCCGCCGCGGUAA
rnacentral:rRNA from 1 species